rnacentral:rRNA from 1 species
AAGUAGUAAAUUUAAUUAAAACAAAAUUUUAAUGGCGGCAUCUCAUCUUAUUAGAGGAACUUGUUAAAUAAUAGAUAAUACACUAUAAUUUUUACUUAAAUACAAAGUUUAUAUACCGCCAUCUAAAGAAUAAAUACAAAUAUUUAUUCAAAAUAAAAAAUAAAAAGUUAGGUCAAGGUGUAACUUAAAUUUAAGUAAUAAUGAGUUACUUUAAAAUUAAUUUAAGGAAAAUUUUUUAAAAAAUUUUCGAAAAAGGAUUUAAAAGUAUAUUAUAAAUAAUAAUUAUCAUAGAUUAAGAUAAUAAAUGUGC